GAUGAACGCUGGCGGCGUGCUUAACACAUGCAAGUCGAACGGGAAACCUUUUAUCGAAGCUUCGGCAGAUUUAGCUGGUUUCUAGUGGCGGACGGGUGAGUAACGCGUGGGUAACCUGCCUUAUACAGGGGGAUAACAACCAGAAAUGGUUGCUAAUACCGCAUAAGCGCACAGGACCGCAUGGUCCGGUGUGAAAAACUCCGGUGGUAUAAGAUGGACCCGCGUUGGAUUAGCUAGUUGGCAGGGUAACGGCCUACCAAGGCGACGAUCCAUAGCCGGCCUGAGAGGGUGAACGGCCACAUUGGGACUGAGACACGGCCCAGACUCCUACGGGAGGCAGCAGUGGGGAAUAUUGCACAAUGGGGGAAACCCUGAUGCAGCGACGCCGCGUGAAGGAAGAAGUAUCUCGGUAUGUAAACUUCUAUCAGCAGGGAAGAUAGUGACGGUACCUGACUAAGAAGCCCCGGCUAACUACGUG
rnacentral:rRNA from 1 species